UAAGGAAUAUUGCUCAAUGGGAGAAAUCCUGAAGCAGCAACGCCGCGUGGAGGAUGAAGGGUCUAUGACUUGUAAACUCCUGUAAAGAAGGAAAAAAUUCCCAUUUGAUGGGAGAUGAUGGUACUUCUGGAGUAAGCCCCGGCUAACUACGUGCCAGCAGCCGCGGUAAUACGUAGGGGGCAAGCGUUGUCCGGAUUUACUGGGUGUAAAGGGUGCUCAGGCGGAUUUGUAAGUCAGAGGUGAAAUCUUACAGCUUAACUGUGAAACUGCCUUUGAUACUGCAAGCCUAGAGUAUGGAAGAGAGUGGUGGAAUAUCUGGUGUAGCAGUGAAAUGCGUAGAUAUCAGAUAGAACACCAAUGGCGAAGGCAGUCACUUGGUCCAUUACUGACGCUAAAGCACGAAAGCGUGGGUAGCAAACA
rnacentral:rRNA from 1 species